rnacentral:tRNA from 1 species
ACCAAUGUGGUAUAGUGGUUUGAAUAUUGGACUACGACUCUGAAGACCAGGGUUCAAAUCUCUGGUCAAGUA